rnacentral:rRNA from 1 species
UACGUAGGGGGCAAGCGUUAUCCGGAAUUACUGGGUGUAAAGGGAGCGUAGACGGUAAUGUAAGUCUGGAGUGAAAGGCGGGGGCCCAACCCCCGGACUGCUCUGGAAACUAUGUUACUAGAGUGCAGGAGAGGUAAGCGGAAUUCCUAGUGUAGCGGUGAAAUGCGUAGAUAUAUGGAGGAACACCGGUGGCGAAAGCGGCUCUCUGGCCUGUAACUGACACUGAGGCUCGGAAGCGUGGGGAGCAAACAGG